rnacentral:tRNA from 1 species
GCUUGGCUAGCUCAGCUGGUACAGCAUGGGACUCUUAAUCCCAGGGUCAUGAGUUUGUGCCCCAUGUUGGGUG